UUGAACGCUGGCGGCAGGCCUAACACAUGCAAGUCGAGCGGAUGAAGGGAGCUUGCUCCUGGAUUCAGCGGCGGACGGGUGAGUAAUGCCUAGGAAUCUGCCUGGUAGUGGGGGAUAACGUCCGGAAACGGGCGCUAAUACCGCAUACGUCCUGAGGGAGAAAGUGGGGGAUCUUCGGACCUCACGCUAUCAGAUGAGCCUAGGUCGGAUUAGCUAGUUGGUGGGGUAAAGGCCUACCGAGGCGACGAUCCGUAACUGGUCUGAGAGGAUGAUCAGUCACACUGGAACUGAGACACGGUCCAGACUCCUACGGGAGGCAGCAGUGGGGAAUAUUGGACAAUGGGCGAAAGCCUGAUCCAGCCAUGCCGCGUGUGUGAAGAAGGUCUUCGGAUUGUAAAGCACUUUAAGUUGGGAGGAAGGGCAGUAAGUUAAUACCUUGCUGUUUUGACGUUACCAACAGAAUAAGCACCGGCUAACUUCGUG
rnacentral:rRNA from 1 species